rnacentral:rRNA from 1 species
UCCGCAGGCGGGACUGUAGGCGUCGAGUGAAAUACCACGGCUCAACCGUGGAACUGCUCGGCGAACCACAGUUCUUGAGGCGAGCAGAGGCGAUCAGAACGAUAGGUGGAGCGGUGAAAUGCGUAGAUAUCUAUCGGAAUGCCAAAGGUGAAGACAGGUCGCUGGGCUCGUCCUGACGCUGAGGGACGAAGCGUGGGGAGCAAACG